AGAGUUUGAUCCUGGCUCAGGACGAACGCUGGCGGCGUGCCUAACACAUGCAAGUCAAACGGAACUGUUUUGAAAGAUUUCUUCGGAAUGAAUUUGAUUUAGUUUAGUGGUGGGCGGGUGAGUAACGCGUGAGUAACCUGCCUUCAAGAGGGGGAUAACAUUCUGAAAAGAAUGCUAAUACCGCAUGACAUAUCGGAACCACUUGGUUUUGAUAUCAAAGAUUUUAUCGCUUGAAGAUGGACUCGCGUCCGAUUAGUUAGUUGGUGAGGCAACCGCUCACCAAGACUUGCUAUCGGUAGCCGGACUGAUAGGUUGAACGGCCACAUUGGUGACUGAGACACGGCCCAGACUCCUACGGGAGGUUUCGGGGGGGGAUAUUGCGCAAUGGGGGCAACCUUGAUGCAGCGACGCCGCGUGAGCGAUGAAGUAUUUCGGUAUGUAAAGCUCUAUCAGCAGGGUAGAAAAUGACGGUACCUGACUAAGAAGCACCGGCUAAAUACGUACCAGCAGCCGCGGUAAUACGUAUGGUGCAAGCGUUAUCCGGAUUUACUGGGUGUAAAGGGAGCGUAGACGGAGGGGCAAGUCUGAUGUGAAAACCCGGGGCUCAACCCCGGGACUGCAUUGGAAACUGUCAAUCUGGAGUACCGGAGAGGUAAGCGGAAUUCCUAGUGUAGCGGUGAAAUGCGUAGAUAUUAGGAGGAACACCAGUGGCGAAGGCGGCUUACUGGACGGUAACUGACGUUGAGGCUCGAAAGCGUGGGGAGCAAACAGGAUUAGAUACCCUGGUAGUCCACGCCGUAAACGAUG
rnacentral:rRNA from 1 species